AGACAACAAAAUGUUAAAUAUUAAUUUUGUCACCUUAGGUCGAUCGGUAUCUCAGGUUCUUAAUUACUUUAAGAAUUUCAUUUCCUAAGUUUUUUCUAGGUCACACCCAUUACUUUUCCUGGGCCAUUAGCUCAGGUGGUUAGAGCGCACCCCUGAUAAGGGUGAGGUCCCUGGUUCAAGUCCAGGAUGGCCCAUAUCUCUAUGUUGGGGGUAUAGCUCAGUUGGUAGAGCGCCUGCUUUGCAAGCAGGAUGUCAGCGGUUCGAGUCCGCUUACCUCCACUGAUUACCACCUCUUCCAUAAAUUUAAAGAAGGGAAUAGUUAUGAGUGUUGAUUUAGAUCUGAACGAAUCUAGCUUCCUAAUUAAAUAAAUUAAGAUGCUGGACUCAUUGAAUUUUAUUCAUUGUUUUCAGAGAACCUUGACAACUGCAUAGAUUAUUUUUAAAGACAAUAAGCAUCUUUAAUGAUGCAGAUUUAUUAUUUGUGCUAAUGCAUUAAUAACAAUUCUAUUGAGCUGAUGCUUCAAUUUUUUGAAGUUAUU
rnacentral:tRNA from 1 species